CCAACUUUGCUAUUAGGACCUAUAAACACACGAAAAUAGCUUAAAACACUCUUAUAAGCAAUAACUAACUAAGUAAAUGCAAGAAAACAUGUUAACUAAGUCGCAUAAAUAUGCUCCUAUCAUUGACUCGAUCCCCAAUAGGUAUAGUCUUGUUCUCUACAUUUCUAACUUAAAAAUGGAUUUUGAAUCAUUGAAUUUGGUUAAUUAUCGAACUAGAAAUUAGCUCUGAAAGUUGGAAAGAAAAUCUUCAAUUUCUGGCCUCACAAUGAAGGCGAGUAGGCUUGUACUCACGGGUGUGUGAGCUGUGCAUGGUGCUAUAGUGAUGGGUGAUGGGCGUGUGGAGCACAUACGCCUUCGCCGGAGGUAUUGCGGCAUCAGCGAAUUUUUUGACAACCCAUCUCGGCGAGUGGCCUCUCGUGAUAGCGUAUGCGGCAGCACAUAGGGGAACUCGAGAUCCUUCCUUAGGUUUUUCGACUUCUUGAAUCUGAAUCUGCUGUCUGUUUUCCCAAAUUCUAUCAUUUUAGUAGAUUUUUAUUAAAUGGUCUCUAUUUGUGUUUAGGUGCGUCAGUGGGAAGUUACCCGUCUUCUUUAGUUCAAGUGGCUCCUCGACAUUGGAAUAUCUAUAAGUAGACCCCUUCUCAGCUUGUAUGUUUUUAUAAAAUAUUAGGCUUGCAUUCACGAAAAGUAUGAUUUCAUGAUUUUACGUUUUAUGCAUUAUUUGAUUUAUCGAAUUUACAUUUUACGAAAGGUUAUGAAUUAUUGGAUUUUCGUAUAUGAAAUUCUAUGGAUUACGAAUAUGAUUUAUUUUAUGGAUUUAUGAAUAUGAUUUAUCAUGGAUUUAUGAAAUGAGGCUUUGAGCUUUUGAGCUCCGGUGAUUUAAUACGAGUUUUUGAGAUAUUUUUUCAGUGCUUAUCUAGUGGGUUAUCAUACAACACAUACACACAACACGAGUAUGUAGACGUCUAUGGCCAUAGGACGCAGUUGAUGAUAUUUAUGACAUACUCCUAGCUUCACUAGCCACGACUAGUGUCGGUGUGUUAUGUUAUAUGUAUAUGUUACUUCUCUAGCGUAACCUAGAGUCGUACAGCUUCACCUUCGGGUGAUGGACCCAUUAUUUCUUCACUGGCGUAACCCAGUGUCGUAUAGCUUCACCUUCGGGUGAUGGAUAUGCCUUCGGGCGACUAUGAUACCCCUAGUUGAGUACAUCAUUGAUGUGAUUUACCGAGGUUUUCCGAAUUUGACUUUACCAUUACUAAGCAUUGAUUUAUAUGUACAUGUUUUAUGAAUGUUUUCAUGGCAUGCUAGAGUUUUUUAAAAACCUACUAUGUAGUACUAUAUAUGUGUUUUCAAAACAGGGGGUUAGUAUGUUCAGAAAGAAAAUGGUUUUCUUAUUAUUAGUAUUAUUAUUGUUAUAAACUUUUGUCCACUCACUUUUUUGGUUUUGCGCCCCCUUUAGGAUUUAGAUUCGAGGCACACGAUCCUGGCGACAAGGCACACCCAUAUCUAUAACUUCAAGCUCCCCUCUCGGUGUAGGACCUACUUUCUUUGUAAUCUCAUUUAUUUUAAAAUAUUCUUUACCUAUUUUUCUUGAUUAGUUUUAUGCUUUCUUGAUUAGUUGUAUGCUCUGAACACGUUCUUGCAAUUAUAUACUUCAUUAUAUUCAAAAUUACAUAUUUUAUGUACGUUCGUUCUUUAUUUAUAAUUUGCAUGCAUAUUGAAAUGGUUGUCACCCUUGGUUGUUGGCCAGAACGUGCCCAUCAUGGUAAUGGAGGGAUAUCGGGAUCAGAGCGUGUCAUAACAUCUAAGUGAAUUAACCUCAACAACUUUGUCACUCUUUAUUCUUUAAAAAAGAUUAAAGAUUUGAACAUUUCUCCUUUAUACAAGUUUACCAAGAAGGCAUUGGAUCCAGAUCUAAUGAUCUAAAGCAUCCAUCUAAGGCCAACUUGUAAUUUAUAGUUUUUGAUGUGUCACAACUUAGUAGGGUUAGUCACUCCUAAAGUAACCAUUUGAGUUUAGGCGUCAUUGUAUCCUAAACAAUUAAGACAACCAUAUUAUCUCUAUGAUAUAGGGACAAUAAAUCAGACUACAAUUAUCCAAUCUUUCAUGAUAAAGAACAAUGUUUUGUCAAGCAAAACAAUUCAUCCAUAUCUUUAAAUUAUAUUGAUGGAAUCAAGUUCCUUACUCAAAUUGGAAUGGAAAGACAAUCUUUGUAUUUCCAUUUCUUGGGUAGUUCACAUGAGGAAGUAAGUGCCAAUUGUUUUCACAUAGAUCUUUAUCUUUGCCACAUUUCGACUGUGAAGCACUUUCUCUGAUCUAUCAUUAAUCUUCUACUUCUUACUAGUCACUCUUUUACAACAAUUGCAAACAUAGUUACUAGUA
rnacentral:lncRNA from 1 species